GAUGAACGCUGGCGGCGUGCCUAAUACAUGCAAGUCGAGCGAACAGAUGAGGAGCUUGCUCCUCUGACGUUAGCGGCGGACGGGUGAGUAACACGUGGAUAACCUACCUAUAAGACUGGGAUAACUUCGGGAAACCGGAGCUAAUACCGGAUAAUAUAUUGAACCGCAUGGUUCAAUAGUGAAAUACGGCUUUGCUGUCACUUAUAGAUGGAUCCGCGCCGCAUUAGCUAGUUGGUAAGGUAACGGCUUACCAAGGCAACGAUGCGUAGCCGACCUGAGAGGGUGAUCGGCCACACUGGAACUGAGACACGGUCCAGACUCCUACGGGAGGCAGCAGUAGGGAAUCUUCCGCAAUGGGCGAAAGCCUGACGGAGCAACGCCGCGUGAGUGAUGAAGGUCUUCGGAUCGUAAAACUCUGUUAUUAGGGAAGAACAAAUGUGUAAGUAACUAUGCACGUCUUGACGGUACCUACUCAGAAAGCCACGGCUAACUACGUG
rnacentral:rRNA from 1 species